rnacentral:misc_RNA from 1 species
UCAAACUUGGUCAUUUAGAGGAAGUAAAAGUCGUAACAAGGUUUCCGUAGGUGAACCUGCGGAAGGAUCACUAGUGAUUAAACGGGAAGCGUCUUAACUGACCUUCUCACCCUUCACAUCCACAUACACCCUGUGAACUGUUUGGCUUCAACUCUAAGUUGAGCUCUCCUAUCGAUAGAUUAGCAAUAGUCUAACGAGAAGAGGGUUCGUCCCAAGAGCGGGAGUCAUCAUUUUUAUACAUACACAAAGUCUAAUGAAUGUAAACGUUUUAUAUAAACAAAAUAAAACUUUCAACAACGGAUCUCUUGGUUCUCGCAUCGAUGAAGAACGCAGC